CCUUCGGGGAACCCGACCGAGGCCCAGCCCGGCCUGCCCCGCGCGCCGCUCACCGAGCCGAACCCCCGCAACUUCGCGCCCUCUGGAGCCCCGAGUCGCGGGCACGCCCCGGCCGCACUCACCGCGCUUGGACUCGGUGUGGCGCCCCGGCUCCGCUCCCUCCCGCACCGCCGCGGCCAGCGGAAACGGGGGGCGGGGCCGGCAGGCGGAGGGGGCGGGACCUUCACCGGGCUGCGGGGCGGGGUCUGAAUGCUCGAGGGCGGGGCUGGGAAGGGGCCGGGUGGGAGAGGCGGAGAGGACUAGGGAAGGCCGGCGGUUUGCGCCGCGGGAGGACUCGGCUGCCAGAGAUCUCACUGUGUAGCUCUGAUGGACCUGGAACCAGGCUGUCCAGGACUUCCCUGUGUGGACCACCCACACUGUUCUACAACUCAGAGACUCUCCUGCCUCUGACUCCUGAGUGCACAGAUUAAAGGCAUCCCACCAUGCUCAGCAGAAGAUAUACUAGGACUGCAGGGACAGGCCAGCCCAUCCAGCUUGAGACAAAGUGUUUAAACUGCAAGGAUCUCCCUUGCAUUCCCCUAACUGCUUGGCAGUUUCCACUAAUCUCCUGGGCUACCUCCCUUAGUCUUGUUUGUUUCAGUUAGAUUCAACCCCUAAUCCAGCCCCCAGGGGUUCUCAUUUCUCAGCCUGAGAAACAGUCUCCUCUCUUCCUUCAAAACCUCAUUCAAACCAAGUGGUGGUGGUGGUGCUCUCCUUUAAUCCCAGCAGUUGGGAGGCAGAGGCAGGUGGAUCUCAGUGAGUUUGAGACCAGCCUGGUCUACAAAGUGAGUUCCAGGACACGAGGACUGUUAAACAGAGAACCCCUGUCUCAAAAAACAAUCCCUCCCAAUUCCCUCCCCCCCCAAAAAAAAACACUCAUUCAAGACCAACCCCUGGCAUAAAGUGUUGCCAGCUGACCCCACCAAUAUUCCAACCACGACUGAGGGGGUCAGUUCUGUCUGCUGUGUAGAAGAGGAGGUAGAGAGAAGAGGGGGCCUGAUAGUGAUAGCUACUGGUAGGAUCAGACAAAGCAGCCGGGUGAGGUAACAAACUCCUGGUUUUAGAGCCACGCAGAUGUGUGUGAUCCUGCCUGCCUCUUUUGGGUGGAGGCAGCUCUAGGCCACAGGUUCCUCAGAAAGGAAAGGGGUCCCACCAACAGCACUCCAGCUCACAUAGAUGAGAGGGAUCUAAGGUAAUGAAGAUGGAUUCCGGAACCCAGGCUGUCCAUCCCACUUUGGCACACCCAGAGAUGGGGGUGCUGAGAUCUGGCAGGAUUCAUGACUGCAGGAAAAGGCUGCUGGAAAAGCUGGAGAGAAGAAGGGAUUAUUCAGCAAAAGGAACCAAGGUGACUUAUGAUCUAUGUGAUGAACACACCGAUCAGGAGGAAAACUCAAAUAAACCUAAUGAUGUGGCCAGAGGCUUUUGGAGAAAGAACUCCAGAAAGCAUGAGGUAGCAGGCUUCUGAAGAAUCCCAUUGCACUCAAGAAAAACACUAAAAGGAUAACUGUAUUAUUGAGCAAGCUACAGAUGAAGUUCCUCCAAGUUUGGAGGACAUCUCCCAUUUACUCCUCUUGUCCUGGCAUGGUUAUUAAUCACCCCACUUUUGCUCUCAGGAUGCCCUAAUUUGCACAAUAAAUUAUAUGCCACUUUAA
rnacentral:lncRNA from 1 species